GAUGGCUGCUCUCUCAGCAGGCUGCAUCACAGCUUCACCUGGAUUAGUGAUGUUUUGGGUAGGAUGUGCAGGAAGGAGAUAUUCUCUGCAGCGGGAGCAGGGAAUUAUUUUAUUUAAGGUACUGGUCAUUUCUGGGUCAGAUUGUUUUUUGAAUGAAGGUGGUAUGUGAACUGCAAAUGGGAAUUCCAGAGAGUGUGUCAUUGAGGUGCAAACAAUUUGUGGGAAAAGACAUAUACAUAUGAAUAUGGGGGAAAAAUAUUUUAAAGCUCUAGUAGAUGGGAGGAGAGGCAGCUUUCUCCAUUUUGCCUCACAGCAUCAUCAGCAGAGACAGACUCCUCCCACCCACUGGGCUCAUCAGUGUAACUCAGUGGGAGGUGGCUGCAUCAAGCCAAGGUGCUCCUUUCCCAGUAAGUGGGCACAUACAUACACUCCUGCUGGUGAUGACCCAGGGAGAGCAGCUACCCAGUAUAUUUCGGGUUGUGUUGGUGCAUCUGGCAUCCAACUUAAAAAUUAAGGGACUUGACUGUCAAGCAGAUGGACUCCUUGCCUUCAUUGAAAAGAAUUCAGCAUUCUACAGGCUUUGAGCAAUAGAAAAUAACAAAGGACUGGGAAACUCCUGGCAGCAGUAGUUACUGGCUGGUCAGGAUACCCCAGCUCUCCCCUCACCAGGAUUAAAUAAUGAGCCCUAUAAUGCACCACGGAUCCCGACUCUUCCACUUCAGGUCUGCCAGUUGGAGCAGCUGCUGGAUCCACAGCUCCCCACCUGAGGAAAAAGUGGGACUAGUGGAGACAAUCAUUGGAUUCUCAGCAUUUUCACUGGCAGUUCUUGGACCAGCUGGAUGGUUCCUGUGCCACCUUCCAAGCUAUAAAAAGAAAUAGAAAACAUCCCUUCAGAAUUAAGAUCUAAAGGCUGCAAUAAACUGUAAUGCUCCAAACUUGGAUUCUCUUGAAAGCCCUGAUACCGCAUAUGGCUAACUAAAGUCCCAGUUCACACACUAUUAUCCAUCCUGUAUGCCAGGUCCCAGGUCACAAAGCUUUUGCAGAUUUUGUAGAACUGGACCCAGAAAUUAAAUGGUGUAGGAAUGCAAAAUAGUGGCAGGUCUACUCUGCCAUCACCUGCUGCAUUGAACCAGUCUGUGUGUACCAGUCUGAAUCUGUGAUCAAGUACUGCGGGAAAUGGAAGAUCGGCAAGGAGGAUUGUAAACACGCUUGAGCGACCUGUAGUUUGGGUCUCAAAAAAAACAUAUAUCGUACUAAUUGUUGUUUGACCUUGUGUGUUAGACAAGUAAAACUUCUGUGUCUGGGCCUGUGAUAGCCUUAGAGGCACCCUAUCAAACAUGCUUGAGAUUCUUGCCCAGCUGUGGGCAAGGUUAAAGCACAGUAGUAAAUUAUGCUUGUGCAAAUCCCUGAAAUACAGGAGAAAAAAGCAGGUUGAGUGAUACUAUAGCAUGGAUCAAGCUUCACAGUGCCUGUGUUCUCGCCUGUGUGUCUCUUCUGACUGCUGCUUCAGUGAUCCCUAGUUGGCGAGGUAACAAAAAUGAAUUUACUCUUUGCAUUUAAUCUGUGGUUUUGUGGUUGUUCCUGUGUCCUGCCUGUGUCAGCUCUUACUGGUACUGUCAAAGCUUUAAACUAAAUAAAUGGGAGAAAAUACAGAAAAAAUAUUUUUAUAGUCAUCUCAGACAAAAAUCCGGAGAGUUUAAGAUUUUCUCCAAGGUUUCUCUUUAAUCUUUACACAUGUUCUUUUGGUGUGUUCCCCCACCCCGUCUACUCUUCCACAAGAAUAAAUGUUUUUCUGCAGAUCAUGAUUGUUAGAUACUUCACUUUAUUUUCAAUGUCUAGAUUAAAAUUUGUGACAUUUGAGAUAUUUUCCCAUGAUUGCUAUUUAUAAUAAAUGCUAUGAUAAAUA